rnacentral:lncRNA from 1 species
ACAAAACCAAAAAAAAAAUAAAAAAAAAAUAAAAGGUGAAUUAUCACUAUUAAUAGUUUUAUUUUUUGUUUUUUUAUAUAAAAAAUCCGAAAAUAUUUUAUUUUAUUUUUAUUUUAUUUUAUUUUUUAUUUUUAUAUAUAAUAAUUUCGGGAAUGAUUUAAAAAAAUAAGAAAAAGGGAAUUAUUGAAUAAAAAAAAUAUAAAAGUAAAAAUAGGUGAAAUUCUCUCUUUUUUUUUAAAAAAGUAAAAGAAUGUAGAAAAUUUAAAAAAAAAUAAAUAAAAAGUUUUGUGGAAAUUUUUAAAAAAUUAAAAAGUAAAAGAAGGUUGGAAUUAAAAAAUAAAUAUAAAGGUAUCUGAAAAUUUAAAAAAUUUAAAGUAAUUGAAAGUAGCAUUUUUGAAAGAAAAAGAAAAGAUAGUGGUUUGUUUUUUUAAAGAAAAGUUAAAUAAAGUGAGAUUCUCUUUUAAAAAAAUAAAAAGUGGGAUUUUAAAUAAGAUAAAGUAAUUAAAGUUG